UGCUGGAUAGCUCACUCGGUAAAGCAUCAAGUUGCGAAGCAGAAAUUGACUAUCACGUCGCAGGUUCGAUCCCUGCUUCGUAC